rnacentral:rRNA from 1 species
CCACACUGGGACUGAGACACGGCCCCAGACUCCUACGGGAGGCAGCAGUGGGGAAUAUUGCACAAUGGGCGCAAGCCUGAUGCAGCGACGCCGCGUGAGGGAUGACGGCCUUCGGGUUGUAAACCUCUUUCAGUAGGGAAGAAGCCGUGAGGUGACGGUACCUGCAGAAGAAGCGCCGGCUAACUACGUGCCAGCAGCCGCGGUAAUACGUAGGGCGCAAGCGUUAUCCGGAAUUAUUGGGCGUAAAGAGCUCGUAGGCGGUUUGUCGCGUCUGCUGUGAAAGACCGGGGCUCAACUCCGGUUCUGCAGUGGGUACGGGCAGACUAGAGUGCAGUAGGGGAGACUGGAAUUCCUGGUGUAGCGGUGAAAUGCGCAGAUAUCAGGAGGAACACCGAUGGCGAAGGCAGGUCUCUGGGCUGUAACUGACGCUGAGGAGCGAAAGCAUGGGGAGCGAACAGGAUUAGAUACCCUGGUAGUCCAUGCCGUAAACGUUGGGCACUAGGUGUGGGGGACAUUCCACGUUUUCCGCGCCGUAGCUAACGCAUUAAGUGCCCCGCCUGGGGAGUACGGCCGCAAGGCUAAAACUCAAAGGAAUUGACGGGGGCCCGCACAAGCGGCGGAGCAUGCGGAUUAAUUCGAUGCAACGCGAAGAACCUUACCAAGGCUUGACAUGAACCGGUAAUGCCUGGAGACAGGUGCCCCGCUUGCGGUCGGUUUACAGGU